AUGAGGAAGAGUCUGGAGAUCAGUGCUGCAGACAAACACAAAUACACCUGCUCUGUCACACACCUCAGUCUGGACGACAAACUGGACAUUGAUUUGGAGUAUCCAGGGGAAACAUUUGUGGUGGUGGUUUUGGCAUUGGGAUUGGUGUUUUUGACUGUGGUUGCCAUUUUUAUAUCGAGGAGAAGGUAUCGUUCAGGUAAUACGUGAGAUAGACAAAACUAGCCAAAACAUGCUAGAUUCUUUCAGACUAUAAAGAUCUAUCAAUACAACAAUACUGUGCAGUUUUUUUAAAAUAAUUUCCUUUUCUUAUUUUGUGUGUUUUGUUGUAGUUUCCUCUUCAAGUAACUACUCUUCUGCUUCUAGUGGGUAUUUUCUGUCCAGGUUGUGAUUUAAUUAAUUUGCACGAAGAAUAACAAAAUAUAAAUUAAUCUGAAUAUUUUCUAACACAUUCUUUUUUUUACCAUCAUUUUCAGCAAGUGAAGAUGGCAUGAAUAAAACCUAAUUUGGUUUCUUGGUGAAGUAAAUUAAGAUUUAUUUGCACAAUAGAAAGUACAGAUAAUAUUAUUUAUUAUAUUAUUUAUCAGCAAUAUUAUUAUCUUCAGCAAAAACGUAUCAGGGAAUUGGUCUUUGUGAACUGCGGGACAACAACAAACCUGGACAAAU
rnacentral:lncRNA from 1 species